AACGAACGCUGGCGGCAUGCCUAACACAUGCAAGUCGAACGAAGGCUUCGGCCUUAGUGGCGCACGGGUGCGUAACGCGUGGGAACCUGCCCCUCGGUUCGGAAUAACAGUUAGAAAUGACUGCUAAUACCGGAUGAUGACUUCGGUCCAAAGAUUUAUCGCCGAGGGAUGGGCCCGCGUAGGAUUAGCUAGUUGGUGGGGUAAAGGCCUACCAAGGCGACGAUCCUUAGCUGGUCUGAGAGGAUGAUCAGCCACACUGGGACUGAGACACGGCCCAGACUCCUACGGGAGGCAGCAGUGGGGAAUCUUGCGCAAUGGGGGCAACCCUGACGCAGCCAUGCCGCGUGAAUGAUGAAGGCCUUAGGGUUGUAAAGUUCUUUUGCCCGUGACGAUGAUGACGGUACCGGAAUAAGAAGCACCGGCUAACUACGUG
rnacentral:rRNA from 1 species